rnacentral:rRNA from 1 species
CCUACGGGUGGCAGCAGUGAGGAAUAUUGGUCAAUGGACGAGAGUCUGAACCAGCCAAGUAGCGUGAAGGAUGACUGCCCUAUGGGUUGUAAACUUCUUUUAUAAAGGAAUAAAACGAGGCACGUGUGCCUUUUUGCAUGUACUUUAUGAAUAAGGAUCGGCUAACUCCGUGCCAGCAGCCGCGGUAAUACGGAGGAUCCGAGCGUUAUCCGGAUUUAUUGGGUUUAAAGGGAGCGUAGAUGGGUUGUUAAGUCAGUUGUGAAAGUUUGCGGCUCAACCGUAAAAUUGCAAUUGAUACUGGCAGUCUUGAGUACAGUUGAGGUAGGCGGAAUUCGUGGUGUAGCGGUGAAAUGCUUAGAUAUCACGAAGAACCCCGAUUGCGAAGGCAGCUUACUGGACCGUAACUGACGUUGAGGCUCGAAAGCGUGGGGAGCAAACAGGAUUAGAUACCCCAGUAGUC